rnacentral:rRNA from 1 species
AAACACCCGUUCCCAUCCCGAACACGGAAGUGAAGACUGCCCGCGCCGAUGGUACUUGGGGGGAAGCCCUCUGGGAGAGUAGGUCGUCGCC